UACGAAGGGGGCUAGCGUUGUUCGGAAUUACUGGGCGUAAAGCGCACGUAGGCGGACAUUUAAGUCAGGGGUGAAAUCCCGGGGCUCAACCUCGGAACUGCCUUUGAUACUGGGUGUCUUGAGUGUGGAAGAGGUCAGUGGAAUUGCGAGUGUAGAGGUGAAAUUCGUAGAUAUUCGCAGGAACACCAGUGGCGAAGGCGGCUGACUGGUCCACAACUGACGCUGAGGUGCGAAAGCGUGGGGAG
rnacentral:rRNA from 1 species